UACGAAGGGGGCCAGCGUUGCUCGGAAUCACUGGGCGUAAAGGGUGCGUAGGCGGGUCUUUAAGUCAGGGGUGAAAUCCUGGAGCUCAACUCCAGAACUGCCUUUGAUACUGAGGAUCUUGAGUUCGGGAGAGGUGAGUGGAACUGCGAGUGUAGAGGUGAAAUUCGUAGAUAUUCGCAAGAACACCAGUGGCGAAGGCGGCUCACUGGCCCGGUACUGACGCUGAGGUGCGAAAGCGUGGGGAGCAAACAGG
rnacentral:rRNA from 1 species